GAGGUAGUUGCGUGGGUUAGGCGCUCCGCGGUUUCCUGGAGGCACCUCCGGGAGCGUGCACCGUUGGAAGGGAGCCACAGGAAGCUAAAGGCACAGGCUCCCCACAAGGCUUCUGCUUCAUGCCUCCAUUUUACAGACAAGGAAACUGAUCCAAGGAAGCGGUGGGAAGUGACCAAAGCUGCAUUUCUGAAUUCUGGCACCUGGGACCAGAUCCGGCUCUUAGUGGCAUGGUUUAGGUGCUCCUUUGGCAAGUCAGGCACAAGAAGGAGAAGUGGAUUUACGUGAAUGAGAAGGAAUGGUGGUUAAGCACAUUGGAGGAGUCUGGGAUUGUAGAUCACCAGAGAUGAAGAUCAUCUGGGACAGCGCCCUCAUGCUAGUGAAGGAGCCUUGAAACACUAUAAAAGCUCCAGCUCUGACAAGGAAGCAAGAAAUACACCUCUGCCUCGACAGGAGCAAUGUGUGUGACAUGAAGGACCUCAGGUGCUACGCUGGUUUUUGACAGUUCCUCAGAAGAAAGCACUUCCUGCCUGUUAUAGUCAGUCCCAGUCCAGCUCGUCAAAAGCCAGUCCACACCUUGCCCCCUCUUUGUACACUCACAGCCGCCACCGUGCUUCCCAUUCAACAGUGGGUGAAUAAACAAAGGGAGGAGUGGACAGGACAGAGAAAGGGUUCUCCUACCCAAAGGUUGCCUCGACAAAGGAACUAUAAAGGGAAGAGCU